rnacentral:lncRNA from 1 species
UUAAAUUAUGGAAGUUCAUUCGUGGGCAAAUAGACUGACCACCAAAGAUUAUAUGUGUCCGAAAAAUAUGAACAGUAGCUGCCAAGAUAAAAGGAAGCCAGAAAUUGAUGACAUGCACCUUCAUAAGAAUCUGCAUAUGUACAACACUCCCAGAAGUCUGGAAAAUCUAGCAUGUCAUUAGCCAUGAAAUAAUUGUAACUGCAUCCAAACUGAAAUACAGUUGCAACCACAGAAUAUUCCAAGAAUUAAGUCAAUACACUGUGCCACUGUUAAAGAAAAAGUUUACCAGUAUAAGAAUAACACGCAUUUAGUAACCUGGUAUAAGAAGACCUUGUGGUAAAAUGAUACAUUUGUUUAGAAGGCUCCAACAACUGGAUAGAAUAGAAAAAAGUUAGUAAAAUACAUUUGUUUUGAAGGCUCAACAUCCUUUGAAGAUAUUGGCAAUGUCAGCAUGUUAUAUUCCCUCCUGGUAUAUGGUUGCUCUGUAAGAAAGAUAGAAUCGAAGUCAAUUGUAUGGAUCCAAGAGAUUAUGAUUAAUCUAUAUGCAUUUAGGAAAAUAGUGCUCAACCGCCCAUCAAUUACCUGUUCUUGACUUCCUGACGCCAAACGACAAACUAUCAGAACAUGAAACACCACCACGAACAAGGGCCAGGUCCUCGUCGUCCCCCUCCCUGUCCAACAAUGAUGCAACUAACUGAGAAUCGUAGAAUGGAAGUAAAGGAAACCGCAGCGGCCAACACCCAGCCUUUUCUUCAAGUCUAUCAUAUUCCUCACCAGAUGAUUCCUCACCAGAAGAUCAACUGAGAUACAGACAAUCAAUUUGAGAGAUUGGAAGGAGCAGAAGGAGAGAUGUCACACCCACGCCAAAAUCACUGCCAAAUCUAUCACAAGCAGCAAAAGAGUCUUGUGACCAAACAAGUAAAAGGAGCAAUUCAACAACAAAGAAAACAAUGAAUUUGGAAAAGGAGGAAUCAAUAUCCCUCACCAUCAUCAUGGAAGAAGGGCAUCACCAACACCUUGACUCGGAAGGCUGUGCAGGCAGUACGGCGGCGCUGUUGAGAGGCGAGGCGAGGCGUUGCAAUGUUCAGUGUAAGCCCGGGAUCUACCAUGGAAUUGCUCAACAAGAAGAACUAAAAAUAACAUCAUUGCUCAACAAAUGAGACAAACAGAGAUAACAAUAUCACUUGUAGGCUCAGAUUUAAUUCAACGAAUAUUCCUCAUGUCAUGAAUACAAUAUUGACAACUCGAAAAAUAUUAUAGAUAGAUCAUAGUUGCAAAAUGAAGUGAUCCACAAAAUUGGACAUUUCACCAGCUGAUGGGAAUAUCUAUUAGUACAAAAUUUAUAUGGAAACACUCAACUCUUAUGAAAGAACUAUAAGACUUGUUGCAUGUGUACAAUCAGGGAGUGCUCAGAAUUGCAAUUUAGAUCUUCCAGUGCCUGAGGGAAAUAUAUAUUAAUACAAAUCACUAUGUAAAUACUCAACUCAUAGGUCAGAACUACAGAUACUUGUUGUACGGGUACAAUCAUGAGUGCUCAACAGGUGAAACAAUAUACUUGUUGUAUAUGUGCCCGCCCUUUGCGACGGUUAGCAAAACAUGAGUAAAUAAAUAUAUCUCUAUUACUGUAGCACACCAUUGAUGUAGAAUUCCUUAUGAAGACAUUUAUCUACUACCCAUAUAUGCAAAAAAAAAUGGUGAUGAACAAAUACUACCGGCUGCUCAUAUCUGUUCAAGGAGAAGACAUAUCCAUCACAAAUAGUGAAUUUUACUAAUUCACUCUAUUCAUGUUGCUACUUGCCAAAUUGUUCUCUUUUAGAUUAGAUUAAGUUUGAUCCUAGUUUCUUACAUCCCUUAUGUAUCAUGUAGUAUACUACCGGCUGGUUUCCAUCGAAGCAUGAGUACCUUUGUGGUUCACAGUGACUGUAAUCUCAAUCUAGCCAUUAUAGAGAUGAACUAUGUGCCUAGAAAAUACACCCAAAAGGAAGCUGCAGAGAAAGGGCCAGUGGAGCACUGAUGAAUCUACCAUGCAUUUGUCAGUAAGGACUCAC